rnacentral:misc_RNA from 1 species
AGCAGCCGCGGUAAUUCCAGCUCCAAUAGCGUAUAUUAAAGUUGUUGCAGUUAAAAGCUCGUAGUUGAAUUUCGGGAUCAAUAUGUUGGUCGUGCCUCGGUACGUACUAGCAUAUUGGUUUCUCCUUUCUGAAGAACCAUGAUGUCAUUUAUUUGGUGUCGUGGGGAAUCAGGACUGUUACUUUGAAAAAAUUAGAGUGUUUAAAGCAGGCUCACGCUUGAAUACAUUAGCAUGGAAUAAUGAAAUAGGACGUUUGAUUCUAUUUUGUUGGUUUCUAGGAUCGACGUAAUGAUUAAUAGGGAUAGUUGGGGGCAUUAGUAUUCAAUUGUCAGAGGUGAAAUUCUUGGAUUUAUUGAAGACUAACUACUGCGAAAGCAUUUUGCCAAGGAUGUUUUCAUUAAUCAAGAACGAAAGUUAGGGGAUCGAAGACGAUCAGAUACCGUCGUAGUCUUAACCAUAAACUAUGCCGACUAGGGAUCGGAUGAUGUUAAUUUUUUAAUGACUCAUUC